CGCUGGCGGCGCGUUUUAAGCAUGCAAGUCGAGCGGCAAGGGCCUUCGGGCCCCUAGAGCGGCGGACGGGUGAGUAACACGUGGACAAUCUGCCCCCCGGCCCGGGAUAGCCCAGGGAAACCUGGAUUAAUACCGGAUGAGACGGGACCCGCGAUGGCGGGAUCCGGGAAAGGCGCUGCGGCGCCGCCGGGGGAUGAGUCUGCGUCCCAUUAGCUAGACGGCGGGGUAACGGCCCACCGUGGCGACGAUGGGUAGCCGGCCUGAGAGGGUGGACGGCCACAUUGGAACGGAGACACGGUCCAGACUCCUACGGGAGGCAGCAGCUAAGAAUCUUCCGCAAUGGGCGAAAGCCUGACGGAGCCGACGCCGCGUGAACGAAGAAGGCCGUGAGGUUGUAAAGUUCUUUUCGGGAGGGGGAACAACCGUGGCAGGGAAUGGCCGCGGGAUGACGUGAAUCCCGGAAUAAGCCCCGGCUAACUACGUGCCAGCCGCAGC
rnacentral:rRNA from 1 species